UCACAUUAUUACCGUAUUACCUCGCCUACAACGGCAUGCCGUUAUAUUUCGAGGUAUAACGGCACCUGGUUAAAUUCACUUUAUAACGGCAUGCCGUUGUAGGCGAGGUAAUACGGUAGUUAGUUUUU
rnacentral:pre_miRNA from 1 species